UGCAUUCCAAGGAUGGGUGCUCCCUCAGAUCCCAGGUCUCAUCUCAGAGGCAGGCUCAGGAAGGGAGCUGGGAGAUGCCGGCAGAGGGCCCAGGAGAGGCACACUGCCCACCAGCUAGGAGCUGCUUCUGACCUCGCUGGCCGAUGGCCGGGGACCCUGGCCCCUCCCAACCCCAGGGACACAAAGCAGAAGAUCCCAGAAUGGGGAUGGGGAGAGAGGACCAUCUUGUUCAACUUCCUCAUUCUAUACCAGGAAAACAGGCAUCGGAGAAGGGAAGAGAUACCUCAAGGUCAACGCCAAGUCCAGCAGCUGCUGCUCUCCUGAGUCCUCCACGUGGACUUCUUCUGCGUUCCCACAUCUCAUUCCUCCAAUUUUUUUUUAAAAAUUGUUAGUAGUAGCAUAAUACUAAGAAAGCACUAUUCAAAGGAACAAGAAGACCCACCGUGUGCGGAACGGUCACUGUGCACCAGGCAACGUGACCCGCAAUUUUCUCUCCUAUAAAACGGGGAUGAGAACAGGGCCUCCCCUGCUGACUCAUGGGAAGAGGUUAAGAUCAAAGGUGACAGUGGACAUGAAUCAGCAUUUUAUAAACCACAAGACAUUGUCACCAUGGCUAUCUUUGGUUUUUAUUAUUUAUUUUUUAAUUUUUUAAUUUUUAUUUUUUGAGAGCAGGGUCUCACUCUGUUACCCAGGCUGCAGUGCAGUGGUGCAAUCAUGGCUCUCUGCAGGCUCAAAUCCUGGGCUCAAGCAAUCCUCCACUCAGCCUCCUGAGUAGGUGGGACUAUAGGUGUGUGCCACCUUGCUAUUAAAUUACCUGGCUAUGGCCGGGCACAGUGGCUCACACCUGUAAUCCCAACACUUUGGGAGGCUGAGGCGGGUGGAUCACUUGAGGUCAGGAGUUCAAGACCAGCCUGGCCAACCCCGUCUCUACUGAAAAUACAAAAAUUAGCUGGGCAUGGUGGCACAUGCCUGUAAUCUCAGCUGCUAGAGAGGCUGAGACACAAGAAUUGCUUGAACUUGGGAGGCAGAGGUUGCAGUGGGUCGAGAUUGCCCCACUGCACUCCAGCCUGGGUGACAGAGCGGGACCCUGUCUCCAAAA
rnacentral:lncRNA from 10 species